rnacentral:misc_RNA from 1 species
UGAUAACAACUGAAAUCGUAAUGUGUUGUACAUAUUUGCUAAUUUUGUUAAGGUUUUAUCACCACGUAUUCCUUCCUUAAACUGUGAAAAAUAGCUGUAGCCAUUGUCGGAAUUAUACCGAAAAUCUGAUAUCAUGCUGGCUGCACAUUUAACAGUCGUGCUAGGUCUAACACUUUGUACCUGCCCAGACCACGCAGUUGGCGCAUGCAAUGAAGGACAAUCAUGCACCACGGCUGAUGGGAAUAUUGGCAAAUGUUUAAGCGGACGAUGCCUGAGUAUACUGCCUAUUGACAUACGAGAGAAUCUUACUUUUGUCAUAACUGUGAAGUACCCAGAUAAAAUGCUUCAGAAACAUGGUGGCAGUAGUCUUUUCGUACGAGGCAAUGGUCUUGGCUUAGAAUGGAUUAAAGGGAAUCAACUUCAAAAGACGUCGAGCGACACUUGGCAAAUAAACAUUCACUAUCAGUCCUCUUUAGACGGUUUCCAGUGUCAGUCAUGCCAAGAUAAGUCUUUCCUUGAACAUGAUCAGUUUCAGUAUCGUAUUCUUCUUGACGACAACCAGGACAUGUUAGGAGCAAACUUUGCUGUUAAUCUACCGUUAGCGAAAUCGUCCAGCUAUUUUAACCUUAAGCCGGAAAUAACUGUUUUUCCAUGGUUCUAUUCUAAGUCUGGGACUUAUGAAAAUAUAACCUUAGAAUCUCCGCAGAUAGGUGGAAAUAGAACCAUUUCUAUAUAUUUCCCCCCAAGCUUCCACGAAAACACAUACAAAAUCUAUCCCGUUCUCAUUGUCACUGAUCUCAAAGCCGGAUAUGCCCAGAUUAAACCGUACGUGUUUGAAGAACUGAUGUACCCACAUGGAGCCACAGUGGAAUUCGUUGUAAUUGGCUUUGAAGACACUUCUUACUACGCCAGUUGGUUCAGAAAUGUACUGUAAAGAAGGGACAUACUCAAACCGAUGUAACAACUGCUACUCGAGCACAACAGUUGAUUACACACCCGCCUGGUUUCAAGUAUUGAAGGAUAAAUGUGGAUAUCGUUACUUUACAGGAGGCAAAGCGGAAGAUACUAUAAACUUCCUGUUAGACACAGUGUAUCCGAGAGUACAAACUAUAUCAUCCAAUAGACUCUCGACGAAACGUGACGACAUUGGUUUCAUGGGAUAUUCCAAUGGCGGAUUGACGGCCUGUCAUGCGGCCUGGACUUUGCCGGAAAGAGUGGGUUUUGCGGCUUGCCUGUCUUCAUCGUUCUGGUGGCCCUUUAACAACGUCACGUGGACAACUUGCGAUUUCAAUUUUAUAAACAAAACUUUAAAGGAUCCUAAUUACCUAAAAAGCCGUCCACCACAGAAGAUCUACAUAGACGCCGGCGGCGCGGAGGCAAAUGAGCCUUAUAUGACUAAGCAAGUUGCCAUAGAAACAGCCGAGUAUCUGGAUUCGAUGGAUUACUUCACCAUGAACAAGAAUCUCUGGGUUCACAUCUUUCCCGGAGAACAUCACAGUUACUAUUCCUGGAUGAAAAGGGCAUGGAGAGCGAUGUCUGUUCUGCUGCCGGCACCCGGCUCGCCGGCAAUGCCACAAGUAUCGAGUCUGCCUAUAGUUGGGUGACAUUAUUGCAAUUAUUUGUUCUACUGUACCAAAUCUUAAACAUUUUCACUUAAUGUCUUGAGUCACAUUAAAUUCAGUCUGCGCGA